rfam:Picea glauca, whole genome shotgun sequence.
GGGUCGAUUCCCGAGUGGUUAAUGAGGAUGGACUAUAAAUCCAUUCGCAAUAUGACUACACUGGUUCAAAUCCAUCUCAACCCA